AUGGGGGCAACCCUGAUCCAGCAAUGCCGCGUGAGUGAAGAAGGCCUUCGGGUUGUAAAGCUCUUUUGUCAGGGAAGAAAAGGGUCUGGCUAAUAUCCAGAUCUGCUGACGGUACCUGAAGAAUAAGCACCGGCUAACUACGUGCCAGCAGCCGCGGUAAUACGUAGGGUGCAAGCGUUAAUCGGAAUUACUGGGCGUAAAGCGUGCGCAGGCGGUUUCGUAAGUCUGUCGUGAAAUCCCCGGGCUUAACCUGGGAAUGGCGAUGGAGACUGCGAGGCUAGAGUUUGGCAGAGGGGGGUAGAAUUCCACGUGUAGCAGUGAAAUGCGUAGAGAUGUGGAGGAACACCGAUGGCGAAGGCAGCCCCCUGGGUCAAAACUGACGCUCAUGCACGAAAGCGUGGGGAGCAAACAGGAUUAGAUACCCUGGUAGUCCACGCCCUAAACGAUGUCUACUAGUUGUUGGGUCUUAAUUGACUUAGUAACGCAGCUAACGCGUGAAGUAGACCGCCUGGGGAGUACGGUCGCAAGAUUAAAGCUCAAAGGAAUUGACGGGGACCCGCACAAGCGGUGGAUGAUGUGGAUUAAUUCGAUGCAACGCGAAAAACCUUACCUACCCUUGACAUGGCAGGAAUCCCGGAGAGAUCUGGGAGUGCUCGAAAGAGAACCUGCACACAGGUGCUGCAUGGCUGUCGUCAGCUCGUGUCGUGAGAUGUUGGGUUAAGUCCCGCAACGAGCGCAACCCUUGUCAUUAGUUGCUACGCAAGAGCACUCUAAUGAGACUGCCGGUGACAAACCGGAGGAAGGUGGGGAUGACGUCAAGUCCUCAUGGCCCUUAUGGGUAGGGCUUCACACGUCAUACAAUGGUACAUACAGAGGGCCGCCAACCCGCGAGGGGGAGCUAAUCCCAGAAAGUGUAUCGUAGUCCGGAUUGUAGUCUGCAACUCGACUACAUGAAGUUGGAAUCGCUAGUAAUCGCGGAUCAGCAUGUCGCGGUGAAUACGUUCCCGGGUCUUGUACACACCGCCCGUCACACCAUGGGAGCG
rnacentral:rRNA from 1 species